GACGAACGCUGGCGGCGUGCUUAACACAUGCAAGUCGAACGGAAAGGCCCUGCUUUUGUGGGGUGCUCGAGUGGCGAACGGGUGAGUAACACGUGAGUAACCUGCCCUUGACUUUGGGAUAACUUCAGGAAACUGGGGCUAAUACCGGAUAGGAGCUCCUGCUGCAGGGUGGGGGUUGGAAAGUUUCGGCGGGUGGGGAUGGACGGGCGGCUUAUCAGCUUGUUGGUGGGGGAGUGGCUUACCAAGGCUGUGACGGGUAGCCGGCCUGAGAGGGUGACCGGCGACAUUGGGACUGCGAGACGGCGCAGAGUCCUACAGGAGGCAGCAGUGGGGAAUCUUGCCCAAUGGGCGGGAGCGUGAUGCAGCAACGCCGCGUGCGGGAUGACGGCCUUCGGGUUGUAAACAGCUUUAGCCUGUGACGAAGCGUGAGUGACGGUAAUGGGUAAAUAAGCACCGGCUAACUACGUG
rnacentral:rRNA from 1 species